CCUACGGGGGGCAGCAGUGAGGAAUAUUGGUCAAUGGGCGCAAGCCUGAACCAGCCAAGUCGCGUGAGGGAUGACGGUCCUAUGGAUUGUAAACCUCUUUUGUCGGGGAGCAAGGCCCGCCACGUGUGGCGGGAAGGAGAGUACCCGAAGAAAAAGCAUCGGCUAACUCCGUGCCAGCAGCCGCGGUAAUACGGAGGAUGCGAGCGUUAUCCGGAUUUAUUGGGUUUAAAGGGUGCGUAGGCGGAAGGUUAAGUCAGCGGUAAAAUGUCGGUGCUCAACACCGGCCUGCCGUUGAAACUGGUCUUCUUGAGUGAGCGAGAAGUAUGCGGAAUGCGUGGUGUAGCGGUGAAAUGCAUAGAUAUCGAGAGGAACACUCGUGGCGAAGGCGGGUUCCUGGACAUUAACUGACGCUGAGGCACGAAGGCCAGGGGAGCGAAAGGGAUUAGAUACCCGUGUAGUC
rnacentral:rRNA from 1 species